AGAGAGGAACAGAUAAAGAAAACAAGAGAGAAAACAAUCUCCAAUAUAUUCGAAAUUUUAAUAAUAAAUAAAUAUAAAAAACAAAAAAUAAAAAAUAAAAAAACUGAGACGAAUCAGGAAUGGAGAUUCAUUCCUCUCUGAAGUGCUCCAAAGACCAACAGAACAUUUAUCAACAAUGGUUCAAGUAUGUAGACAAAGACGGCGAUGGGUGCAUUACGGGGAAACGACACCACUAAGUUCUUCACUAUGUCGAAUUUGCCUCGACAAGAUCUCAAGCAGGUUUGUGUGAUUAAAGUGGUGGAGCUGAGUGUUUGGAGUUGGUGUUGGAAUAUUAUUUUAGCUGUUUAAGAUUCUGAAGAGUAGAGCUGCGUGAGAUUUUUACAUGUGAGAGUGCCGAGAGUAGGACUAUGAUUUAGGUACUUGGAUUAUUGUUUUGUUAAUAGAUUUUAUUAGUGGACUUGGUGGAUAAUUU